GAUCACCACAUUCAUUGUUCUCGUUUCUAUUAUUUCUGAAAAAAAUCUUCAGGAUUCUGCUUGUGGGAGUGGAUGACAUUUUUACAGUGUUUACAGGCUGAAAAUUUUUCGAGCUUUUAUGCUCUGCUUCCGUUAUAAGGAGGAGGCCUCACAAUCCUGGUGGAAGGCAAGGAGGAGCAAGUCACAUCUUAUGUGGAUGGCAGCAGGCAAAGAAAGCUUAUGCAGACACAAAAUGAACAAGAUGUCUGUGGCAACCCUCAGACCAUUGACGCCUUCUCUCCUAUGUAUCAAAUCACACAUUUGGACGUUGACUGAACCCUCACAUGUCAGAUGCUCAAUAUUGAGCUUUAUCUAUUCCAGAAUGUCAUAUAGCUGGUAUAAGAAAGAACACUAAUCAUUCCUAAGGAAGAAAAUUAACAACGCCGUGAGUUAUAAUAUCUGGCUGAAACUGAAGGAGCUCUGUGUAAUUAAAAGUCCUUUCUGCCCUGCCUGGCCAUGGUUCUGUAUGCAUUGAUGUCUUACAAACUGAAAAAAAAAAAA
rnacentral:lncRNA from 1 species